GACGAACGCUGGCGGCGUGCUUAACACAUGCAAGUCGAGCGGAAAGGCCCCUUUGGGGGUACUCGAGCGGCGAACGGGUGAGUAACACGUGAGUAAUCUGCCCUUCACUUUGGGAUAACCCCCGGAAACGGGAGCUAAUACCGGAUAUGACUGGCGCCCGCAUGGUUGUUGGUGGAAACUUUUGUGGGUGGGGGAUGUGCUCACGGCCUAUCAGCAUGUUGGUGGGGUAAUGGCCUACCAAGGCUUUGACGGGUAGCCGGCCUGAGAGGGUGACCGGCCACACUGGGACUGAGACACGGCCCAGACUCCUACGGGAGGCAGCAGUGGGGAAUAUUGGACAAUGGGCGGAAGCCUGAUCCAGCAACGCCGCGUGAGGGAUGACGGCCUUCGGGUUGUAAACCUCUUUCAGCACCGACGAAGCGCAAGUGACGGUAGGUGCAGAAGAAGGACCGGCCAACUACGUGCCAGCAGCCGCCGUAACAC
rnacentral:rRNA from 1 species